rnacentral:rRNA from 1 species
GACGAACCGGGCAAACGUUAUUCGGAAUCACUGGGCUUAAAGGGUGCGUAGGCGGCUCUGAAAGUUGGGUGUGAAAUCCCUCGGCUCAACCGAGGAAUUGCGCCCAAAACUGCAGAGCUUGAGGAAGGCAGAGGUGAGCGGAACUGAUGGUGGAGCGGUGAAAUGCGUUGAGAUCAUCAGGAACACCAGUGGCGAAGGCGGCUCACUGGGCCUUUUCUGACGAUGAGGCACGAAAGACAGGGGAGCAAACGGG